AUACAUUUUUACCUAGAUAACCGUGCUGUCAUGUCCCACUCUGAUUGGUUCACACCAGAUAACAUUGUGCCUUAUUUGGCCGUUUCCACAUUCUUUUAUCAUCCUUCUUCUUCUCCUGUUUUCUCUGCAACAAGGUCAGCACGAUAGCACUGUCUCUCUAUGUUUAGGGAGAGGCCUGUCCCGUACAUCCCGUGCCCCCGCAAGACGCCUACUACAACAUCUCCCCCUUCCUAAGCUAAAUACUACUUACACACACACCUAACCCGUACAUCGCGAAGCAGCGCAAAACGCCUAAUCCUAAAUAUAUUUCAGCACACUAUUCCUACUAUUUUCUACUACAGUUCUUAAGCAAUCAUCAGAGCAACAGGGAAUUCUUUUCCGUGCUCGGCCAAGCCUUGCCCCGUUACAGCACGAACGCAACAACCUAAACCCCUCUAUAAUUUUUCACGCAAUCUAUGAUACUCAAUGUGAUAGUCAAAAGUCUUGUCCAUCAUUCGUUGAAGGCAGUUCUGCAAGCAUCCUACAAAGCAUGGAAGACAGAUUAGAAUACACACAAAGAUUACAAAUCCUACUGCGAGAGCUUUAAGCAAUUGCUUUAACCAUGAACCCGUUCCCCCAAACAGUCCGUCCAGCCAGCUUCCAAAGGGAUCACGCUCUUCUUUAAUUUUCUGCAUAUGUUCUUGUGUCCAUUGUAGUUGUUUGUGACACUCUGUAAUCGCCAUGGACACCAUAAAUAUCAGCAACAUCGGAAGUGUCAGCGUUGCAGGUGUAGUGCUCCUCUUGACGAGUGGUUCUUGAUCCCAUCGUCUGUCCCUCAGUUGUUCUGGAGUUGGCUUCGGUCUGCCAACGAAGAAUUUCUGUAGAAAACUCGCACCUAGACUCAGUUUUUGCAGAUAUGCUACUUAUAUCUGGUAUUACUUUUCGCGAUGGUACCCACAGAAUUUCCCAGAUUCAUGAUAUUUAACUGCUGCAUACCCGACCACGGAUACCCUUUAGCAAUCCCUUCCUGUGAUCAGGAGGCCCUGACUGGCCUCCCCCACAGGGGCAUUGUGCUCUAACAUGGCCAUACUGGCCGUAUCGGAAACACAGCCCUUGAUGCUGCAGCGAUCUUUGCUGUCGCAGGCCAACAGCUACGACAAUAGCUGUGACUAGCCUUUCAUUAGUUAAAUGAGCCACCUUGAGCUUAUCUAAGACAUACUGAAUAACUUCUCCGGAGGUAUUAAGCCGUACUUCGGCCGGCUCGCAGCAAUGCCUUAACAUUGUCAUGCGAUUUCUGCUGCAAGCAGUCAAUGAUCACUGGCCCUUGGGCCGGUACCAGGAGAUCAGACCCCUCUGCAGCAGCUAAAAGCCUGUCUGUAAAGCUUUGAAAGGAUUCAUUCGGGCCCUGGGUAAUAUCUGUGCACGGAGUAGGUGGUUCGGCCUUAUGCACAAGUUUAUUAAACGCUUCCACCACUGCACCUGUGGCUGCUAUUAGCUCCCCUGGCCUUAGUCUCGCUAGCUGGCCCUGGGGCGAAGCCACUCCCACGGCCUUCCCUGAAAGCCGCUGUAUUCCGGUCCCAUGCAGGGAGCGGCGCGGGCCGACCCCUGUCGCCCCGGCACGGCCCCCCAACUCGGCCACCCAGUCCAUCUCCCAUAACGUAUAUUGAACCAGCCUGAGCACCGUACGCAUUAAGUUUGUGAUGUCACGGGGGAAGAGAGGCCCCAGUGCAGCCAAAGUUUGUAGUGCAUUUAAUGUCAGAGGCGAUUUCAGGCCUCUUUUAUCCAUAAAUUCCACCAGGCGCGUAACACCCCCGGGGUCAGGCGGCACCCAUUCGGGACCACGAUCACUCACAAUCACCCGGAAUGCCUCUGGAACUAUACCCUUUCCCAAAGCCUCCGAUCUAAUCCCAUUCCAGUCCGUCAUUUGAUCCCUCCCCCUGCACUCAAAGCCAGUCCCUUCUUUCUCUUCUACACUAUCACUCGCACUACCGCCCCUGGGAGUGACCAGAGACAGUAGGCUAUGCUCCCUGUCCGCAUUGGACGGACCUUUUGUCUGGUCCCUCCCCAUGUGGGCACUAAGUUGAUCCUGCCCGUGUAGAUCACAGCUUCCUCCGCCCCCUUGAGUCAGGUAACACUGACGUCAUUCUGAUAAAGGAUACAACGUUCCGCCUGAGGGGUGUGGAUACGGGGGAGGGGGACGAGACAACGAACUUUCACUCUCUUGUUGUUUGUCUUCUUUUGAACUGAGCACGGUCGGCUCAGCCGGCGCCAUCCCACCAACGGUCAUUGGCGGCUCCGUCUCCUCUCGGCCCCUGCAAGAAACUGCUCCCGAACCCCCAUCGGACCCGACCGGGUCCUGUGUCUCACCUCCUCCGCUGAGACCCAAAAGGUAUCGAGCCUCCACCAAUACCUUUCCCUCAACUCUGGCCGCUUUAAGGGCUCCUAAUAUCAGUCCCCACGUUUUAAGUUCCGUAGCCUUCUGACUGGCCAUGGCGCGCUGGCAUAGCACCGAGGUGAGC
ensembl:lncRNA